rnacentral:lncRNA from 1 species
AUAGAACUUCGACUUUGCUAAUUGCUCUUUUUUUCUGCCUGAGCUCCCUGUUCAUCAACUAAUGCUUUUUUUAAUGAAUUCUUAUUCUGUGGCAGUAGGCACAGUAAGAACAUAUAAUAGGAGUUCAUAUUUGGCUCUUGACUGAUAUGGAGUCCUGUCUUUUAUUUAUACAGAACAUCUGAAUAGAUACUGUUCACAAAGUGCUCUUCUGAAAAAGAAUAGCUGCACCUUAUUCACUGACAACACACUUGUUGCUGAGUGUUUUAAUAUUAUUCAACAGAUGGGGGGGGCCCUGCCUCUGUGUUGCCACACUCUGUGGCAGGGACAAACUAGACCACUGAUUUGGCAUCUAAUUUGAGUGAUACCACUGAUCAGUUAACUUUUUCCAACCGUGUUUGACUUAAGAGCCUACUUUGGUUGCAUGUGGGAAACUGCAUGUACUUUACACCAUCAGCUCUGCUUCCAUCAUCCCCACUAACUAAAACAAGAUGAUGUGGUCCUUGCCUCCUUCUAGUUGUGGUUGGAAAUCCUUGAUGUCCUCACAUGAUUUUAGAUGAGGAUUCAUAUUUUCAUUCAGUACCUUGUUCCUCAUUGCUGGAGGUUGUUGGCUGCCUGAUUUCCUUGUGUUCUGCAGUUGGCUGGUAGGAACAUUCCUACCAUGGUGCUACCACCCUUCUCAGAGCUGCUUGUAGCUCUCCUGCUUGGCAUGUGUGACCUUGUCACAGCUCAAGUUCAGGCAGCCCUGGAGACCAUCAGCUUAUGUGCUGUUGAUUGAUGCUUCCGUGACUGCAAAAAUGGAAUCAGAAUCAUAGAAUUUCUUGGGUUGAAAAGGACCUCAAAGAUCAUUUAGUUUCAACCCCCUGCCGUGGGCAGGGUUGCCAACCACUAGGAGGAGAGGAGACACAAGUUGUUUUCAACUUGAAGGGCUCUGCCUGCUCCAGCUCCUGGUGGAUGUGGUGCUCCCUAUGCCCACCUGCUCUCGCCUGGAGCAGAGGCCUCUGCCAAAAAGCAGCAUAAACAUCCCAGCAUCAGUCAGUGUGCCGCAGGACUGGGCUUCGGUGACUUGCUGUUAGAGUUGUUGCUGGAAUGAAAAACAAAGGAAACAACACCUGCCCCUUUCAGAACAGUGUUUCAGCAUCAC